rnacentral:lncRNA from 1 species
GAUGGGGAAAAAAUAGGGUUCCCAGAUCUGUGUUUGCAAGAGCAACUGCCCAGAUUUGGAUAGUAUAGAUGCAUGCUGGGAGGUUUUCACUACUUGAAAUUUAUUUUUAAGAAAAAUGGAUUUUCUUCCAUGAACCAUGUCUUCCUGUUAGGCAAGAAUGGGUGAGCAUCUCAGGCACAAUUAUGUUUCAUUAGAAACUAUUUUUUUUUCAUGUAUCAUGUGAUGCUAUAUGUGCUCAGUGAUGCUGUAGAAAACAGGAAUACAUUUUCAUGACAUGCUGUCAAAUAAUUAUCAUUAGGGAAACAAAAACAAAAACCCCAAAAACUCACACAUCAACUUCCUGUAGCUUCGCUAUACACUAAGGCUCUCAAUUCACCAUGGCCUCUGGGAUGGAGAAUAGAAACACUGACAUGGAAAUGUUGCUCUAUGUGUUGGAAGUUUUCUUUGAAACAAAGUCCUGUUAAUAGCAUCUUCCAGUCAUUUCAAUACUCUCUGUACCAGGGAAACAGAAAGACUCCAUUCAUUAGGAAUAAAUUAUUAACUUAAAUCUUCAAAGGAAAGGUUUGAAAAAAUGUUCACCAAAUUCACAUAGCAGCGCAGCGGCGCAGAGCCCCGUGCCCUUGUUUGUGUGCUAUUACAGCUAUUAUAACUAAUUGAUGCACUAGCAGUUAAUUAGCAGCCUGGAGUCCCCAAAAUGUUUUCCAGGACAAUUAUGCUGUGCUGCUUUCAAAGGACUCCACGUCUGAGAGCCGCAUUUGGCUACCUCCACUUUGUGGUCCUGUCGUCACCCAACGCACUCCUCAUGGCUUCCACGGAGGAGAAGCAGCUGGUGGAAGUAGAAACCGACACCCACAACUAAUCACUGAACUGAACUGAAAUCCAGUUGCAGACAAGGAGGAGAGAUGAGCAAAGGGGUCAAAACUAGGCUGGUGAAACCCACAGAAACAGCUGACCUGAACAUCGGAGAACUCUUGGACCCCAGAUUGAUAGCUGAGAAACCAGCAUGGGACUGAUCUAGACCCCAUUGUGAAGCCACAUAGUGCAUGGGCAAACAGACUUCACAGCCACAGACUGUCCCCA